GUCCUUCCAGAGACAUCCGAUGAACUUAGAACGAUACAAAGGAGAUUAACAUGGCAUCUGUGCAAGAAUGACCUGCACAAAUCGAGAAUUAAGUUAAUUUCUA